rnacentral:lncRNA from 1 species
UUUGGAUUUUUAUAAGGGAAAACUUCAAAUACCCCCAUUAUGGUUUCACUUUUUCUCACUUUAUUAUCCUGUGGUUUAAGGUGUAUCAAGUUAGUAUCCUAUGAUUUCGUAUUUUUUCACUUUAGUAUCCUGUGGUUUAAAGUGUAUCAAGUUAGUACCCUGUGGUUUCGCACUUUCUCACUUUAGUACCAUGUGGUUUAAUAUUUCAUUAAGAGAAAAAUAAAACUACAGGAUAUUAACUUGAUACAAAAAUAAAAUCAUAAGGUACUAACUUUAUACAAAAAUAAAACCACAGAAUACUAACUUAAUACACUUUAAACCACAGGGUACUAAAGUUAGAAAGUGCGAAACCACAGGGUACUAACUUGAUACACUUUAAAUCACAGAAUAUUAAAAUGAAAAAGUGCGAAACCACGGAAAGGGUUUUUGAAGUUUUCCCUU